GAACUGGUUAGCUCAGUUGGUUAGAGCGUGGUGCUGAUAACACCAAGGUCAUGGGUUUGAUCCCUGUUCGGUCCC
rfam:Apaloderma vittatum contig87373, whole genome shotgun sequence.